CGCUUGGGUACCACCAUUCAGGUACCGAGAUGCCCAGUUACCAUUCAGAGCUCCACAGAAAAUGCUGGCUCAGAUUACUCCUCUCAUCCCAACCCCAAACACUGCAAAAGGCCCAGGGGAAGAAGAGAGGAGACCAAGAAAACCCUUGUGUCUUCAAACAUUGCCUGGAUAUACAUCAACACAGAAAAGUGCAGCUAGCAGAUCUGAAGGCAACAGGCUUUCCCCUUCCCUUCUCCAUGACCCUUUGCAAAAAUCAGAUCCAAAAUUAAAAGGCUAUUAACUUCCUG
rnacentral:lncRNA from 1 species